rnacentral:sRNA from 1 species
AGCGGAUCCGGCUCUUCCGGGAGUUCCUACAGGUGCUGGAGACUGAAUGCCAGCACCUCCACACCAAAGGCCGAAAGCAUGGCAGGAAAGGCAAGAAGCACCAUCGCAAGCGUUCCCACUCACCCUCAGUGAGUAAGCGGGUAGAAGGGACGUGGGGUGAAGCUGGGUUUUGGGGAAAUAAACACUUUGUUUUCUCCUUACAAUAUCUCCCUUGGAGGGAAGUUUGAGGAUUCCUUUGGCCCUGGGUCCUCCUCUCUCGAAUUCCCAGACGAGGGCUUCUGGAGGGCAGAGAACCUCUGUACUGACAUGUAUCUGCUGAUCUGCCCAGGGCUCUGAGUCAGAAGAAGAGGAGCUGCCCCCACCAUCUCUCCGGCCCCCCAAGCGGAGGAGGCGGAACCCCUCAGAGUCAGGCUCUGAGCCCUCUUCCUCACUUGAUUCAGUUGAAAGUGGGGGUGUUGCCCUUGGAGGACGGGGCUCCCCUUCCUCCCAUCUUCUUGGAGCAGGUAAGCAGUUGCUAUGAGCCUAGAAGCUGGAGAACUGUUGUCCCAGACUGAGAGGAUGCCCUCCACAAGCCCUAGCUCCUUUGAGGGUAGACUGGAUUGGGAGGGCUGCACCUGUGGAAGUAGAAAUAACUUCCUCUACCUGCCCAAGCAAGAAGCUGGAGAAGAAAAACUGGACUUAGACUUCCUCAGAGCAUGAGGUUCCUGCCUGUGAAGAAUGAACAGAGGGGCUAGAACAAAGAAAAAGAGCCUGCCUUUCUCCUGUUGGGACUUAGUAGGGAUUUUUCUAUCUCCAGAUCAUGGCCUUCGGAAAGCCAAGAAACCAAAAAAGAAAACUAAGAAGAGAAGACACAAGUCGGUGAGUGAAGGAACUUCUACCUAAGCCCUUGCUAUUUUGUGAGUUCUGUUCUACCUGCC